GACGAACGCUGGCGGCGUGCCUAAUACAUGCAAGUAGAACGCUGAAGGAGGAGCUUGCUUCUCUGGAUGAGUUGCGAACGGGUGAGUAACGCGUAGGUAACCUGCCUGGUAGCGGGGGAUAACUAUUGGAAACGAUAGCUAAUACCGCAUAAGAGUAGAUGUCGCAUGACAUUUGCUUAAAAGGUGCAAUUGCAUCACUACCAGAUGGACCUGCGUUGUAUUAGCUAGUUGGUGAGGUAACGGCUCACCAAGGCAACGAUACAUAGCCGACCUGAGAGGGGGGUCGGCCACACUGGGACUGAGACACGGCCCAGACUCCUACGGGAGGCAGCAGGAGGGAAUCUUCGGCAAUGGACGGAAGUCUGACCGAGCAACGCCGCGUGAGUGAAGAAGGUUUUCGGAUCGUAAAGCUCUGUUGUAAGAGAAGAACGAGUGUGAGAGUGGAAAGUUCACACUGUGACGGUAUCUUACCAGAAAGGGACGGCUAACUACGUG
rnacentral:rRNA from 1 species